GGAUUGUAGUCUGCAACCCGACUACAUGAAGCUGGAAUCGCUAGUAAUCGCAGGUCAGCAUACUGCGGUGAAUACGUUCCCGGGUCUUGUACACACCGCCCGUCACACCAUGGGAGCCGGAAAUGCCCGAAGCCAGUGACCCAACCUUAGGGAGGGAGCUGUCGAAGGUGGAGCCGGUAACUGGGGUGAAGUCGUAACAAGGUAAC
rnacentral:rRNA from 1 species